ensembl:lncRNA
CAGCAAGCUUCCUAUUGAUCAGUGUAUUAGUCAGGACAGGUUGCCAGUGACGGAACUUCAACUCAGAUUUCCUCAAACCAAAAUUAAGGUGGGGGUGGGCCAGGUGUUGGCUCUCCCAACCGAAAAGUUCAAGCAACACCCUCCAGAUGCCCAAAUGAUGUUAUCAAGGCUCCAUCGCUUGUUCUACCCUUGGCUCUGAUGGGUUCAUUCUCCAGACAGACUCUGCAUGGGGAGGCAGGAAAUACGCUGGCAGCCCCAAGCCUGCCCAAGCCUCAUAUCUCACAGCUGCACAGAAGGAGACACGGCCUCCCAGGUGGCCAGCAAAGGUCCUGGGGAGGAUCUGGGGUCCUUGGUCAUGGGUUUGGGUCAUGAGUCCACUGUGCCCAAGGGUCAGGGUUGGCGUGGUGUGAGUAGAGAGAGCCCCACCCAAAGCAAACAGGAAUGCACAUACUACAGAGAAAUGGCUCCCUCAAGGACAGCGUGCUGGACAGACAAACCAGGUGUCCAUUCCAAUAACACAGUCUCCUAAGCUUCCUCUGGCCUCCUUGCACCUAGAACAGACUUUCAACAAGAGGAUUUCAUCUUUCCCAACCAAAGAGCGUGCCAGGGAUUCCUGCUGGGGGGGCCUGUGCAUCCCCCUGAGUUUGGAGGGCGGGGAAACGAGGCACUGAUGUGAGUCUUUCCUCAGGAGUGUGGUCACAGCUGUGGUGUCUCUGACACUCCCAGUGACCUGAGGCUGGAAUGACAGGCUCCCCCUGGAGAAAGGGCAGGUGGCGGGGGACUCUGGGAACAGGGGCCGGGCUGAGAUGUCUCCACGUCCCAGGCUCAUUUCCAGCCUGGCCAAAGUUCAUGUGUCAGAUCCUUUCCCUUCUGAUGGAAAUAUUUCUUAGGCUUUUUCAAAGGCCACUAGGCCCUUCCCAGCACCCUCACGGGGAGGAGACUUCACGCUCCUGGAGCCUCGCUCGGGGGUGGGGCCCUGAGGAGCUUCAGGGUACUCCUUGAACAGCACCCAGGGUGGAGCUUGAGGGCUGCAUAGCCUACACCUUGGGCUUGGAGAUGCCGAAUCUGAGCAAGUGAGGGCCUAUCAUGAACCUUGCCCGGAACUGGCCACUUCUCACACUUCCUCUCAUCUGAACCUCACAAAGCCCACAGAGGUGGGUGUCGUGGGCACCGCACCCACAGAUGAGGGACCGAGGCUCUCGGAGUGGAGGACCCUACCUGAGACCACACGGCUGGGGGCGAAGAGACAGAUCGGGUCUGGCUGGUUCAGAGCGUGGCUUCCUGCUUGCUGUCUUCUUGCUCCACUGCCUCAGCUGUCCCCUGCAAUGAAACCCUCCUCCACAUUGGGCCAUGCACUUCUCCUGGGACAGACCUCCCUCGGAGUUCAUGUCCAGGUCUCAAGGUUUGGCCUCACUUGGAGUGGAAUCAAGAUUCGCCAGCUCAGAGGAAGGUGGACCGGGCUCCCGGGUCUACUGGAAGUUUUCUACGUUUCACUUACCUCCCUCCUCUCUAUUGUCAACAUACACACAUGUAACACACUCACACUCACAUGCUCAUACAUAUUGUGCACUCACACAUGUACACAGACAUGCAUAUGCACGCACAUACACACAUGCACAUACAUUCACACAAGUGCACACAUGUGUAUACACACACACUCGCGCACACACAUGGCAUUUCUGUCUGACACACAGGAGGCUCUGGGGUGACCCAGGUCUGCAUGGCCUCUGUGCACGUCGUGUCUCAUCUGUGAUCCUCUCUAGCAAUUUCCAAGGGGGAAGUGAUACCCCAAGCCCUCACGUCCUUAGAGCGAGAAAGGAGUAUAGAAAUACCGUGUACACUGGAGGGGCGGCAUUCGUCCUCGUCACACAGCCAGGUCUAGAUCGGGUCUCCUCAAUCCCGUCUGCAGCCCUCUUCCUCCGUCCCGCACCACAUAUCACCCCUCACACCUAAGACUGAAAUGUGCAGCGCCUUCCAGUCCUAGGUCCAUGGGCACAAAGCAGGCACAGCCGAGCUGCAGAUACCAGAUCGCCGGGGCCUGGAGAGCACCCGGCCUGCUUCCCACCCCACGAGGACGCGGGUCCCACCCCGAGACUCCGAUCCCAUUGGCCUGCAGGGCGGUGAUUUUUUAAACUUUCCAGACCCUUGACAGUGUUAAGGGUGAACUCAAGGGCAGGGAGUCCUCCAGGAGGCUGUUACAUUAGGUCAGAAAUGACGGAGGCCUGGGCUGAGAGACUGGCAGUGCCACUGAAUUAGAGACGUCACUUCCUCCAUCAACAACUACGUGUCACACGCCUGAGCGCUGGGGAGAGAGCUGCAGACAAGACAGGUGGGCUUCCCGCCAUCAGAGAGCUCAGCUCCUGGAGCAGCGCUGCCUACAGAACUUUCUGUGAAGAUGAAAACGCUCUCACGUGUGGCUAUUGAGCACUUGGGAUGAAAGAUUUUCUGUGAUACUGCAUUGAAACGUGUGCCAUGGCAACCCCUGCCGUAGGUAAGCACCUUGCACACAGGUUACGGAAACAGGGCCCAUAACCAGGUAGGGAUGCGGAGAAGAGCAUAGGAAGGGAAAGAACUGAACCUGCGCCACCUUGAAACUCAGCACAGAGAAGCAAGGCUCUGUCCGCUGACUGAGGAGGGCGGGAGCCAGCUCCAGCAUUCCCAGGAAACCUAGGGAUUGGAUUCUGCAGCCUGAGGACCCUCCCACGCCUCUCCCCACCUACUCCUCCCUCUUUCCUCACUUCUUGUCUGAAUUGCCCUUCCUCCUUUCCCAGGGCACUGUCCUUGUCUUCUUCUCUCCCUUGGUCUUCCUUAGAGAAUUUCAGACACCGGAAGUUGGUAGCGGUGGCCCUGCUCACACACACCACCACUGCGAGCCUCAGUUUCAUGGCCUGGGAAUGAAAGUCCCAGGGCCAGGUCCACUGUAGAUCGCUCCCGAUCACCGUCCAGCUACAGAUGGCUCCCCAUCACUGUCCAGCUGUAGAUCACUCCCCAUCACCAUCCAGCCACGGCCAGAGCCACUGUCCCUUCACUGUCCCCAGCUCUGAAAAUAGGUUUU